CCUUUUCCCAUAUAAUCAAAAGGAAUUAGAUUGAAGAAAUUGCAGGAGAGCAGGAAGGGUAUUCCUGGUGUGACAUUCAAAAGCAGUCAAAACGGUGAGGUUUAGAACGGAGGAGCUCCGUGGAAUUGUGGAUAAAAAAUUAUCCAUAACAUGUCUGUCAUUGCUCAUGUCGACCACGGGUAUCAAGGUAUUUGCCUUGGCAUUACUAACGUCGUGUUCAGAUUACUAAAAGAAGGAUUGAUAACGGCAUACCUUAACUCGACUGAUGCUUUAACUGCUGCCUCUCUAAGCCUUGAUUAGCCAUGGAGAUACUCAAGUUCCAAAGCCCCAAGUGAGGCUAUCCUUCUAAGAUCCGUUCAUCCCAGUUCAUUAAUUUGUUUGAAAUAUAUAUGUAUAUUCCAAUAUUGCUCAAUCUCCAGCUGGCCUCUAGGUUAUCAGAUGAAAUCCGGUUAAAUUUUAGGGAGGUUGAGUAGGAGUGUUUGGAACUAAAGGCUUUGUUGUUGUUGUUUGAGUAGGAGUAUCCCCCUUUUCUGUAUAAAUUUUGUUGCUAUGAAUAGUUGCAUUGUUACGUCAGUGAAAAGUU